GAGACCUUCUGUCUGCAGUUAGUUAGAAAGUCCUCAGCUGGAGAGAAAGACACACACAGACAGACGGAGAGACACACACACACACACAGACACACACACCACAGACAGACAGAGAGACAGUGAGUCACACACCCCAGAGACAGACAGACAGAGAGAGAGAGACACACACACACACACACACACACCAGAGACAGACACACAGGCAGACAGGCAGACACACCACACAGACAGAGAGACACACACACCAGAGACAGAGAGACACAGACAGGGAGACAGAGGACACUCGUUGGGAAUCUGAUCCUCCGAUGAUGGAGACUAAAGUGUUUGUUGUUCUUUGUUCUCUGCUUCUUGUUCACUUUGGAUCCACCAAUCACGACUGCUGCCCCCUGCUGGCCCACACGCGCUUUCCUUACUGUUAGUGGUGCAUUCAGGUGCAACCAGCAAUGUGUGUGUUCUUCGAUGGCUGUUUGGAGGAACUUCUGGAGCCCUAAAUGACCUGGAGACACGACCUUUAGCUCCCGAUGCUAAACAACAUGGAGUUGCUGUGACAUGACAGCGCGUUGAAGCUGCUCUCUGAUCACAGGAAUCAGGAAACAUUUAUUUACCAAAAUAUGCCAAACAUACAAUGAAUUUGUCUUGGCGGUUAGUGCGCGACAGUAGACAGACAAGACAACAGUGCACACGUAAUAAAAUAAAGUCAAAUGAAAUGCUAAUGCAAUGGGUUAGAUAAACGACACCUAGUGUUUUAAUAACUGCUGUUUGGAUAAAAAGCUGCCUGUGCUGAAAUUGAUGCAGACGUCUGUGUGUUUGUCUCGCAGUAACGAGCAGCUUGCCCCUAAAAAACGCGCAGUAUGCACAAUAUAUGAAAAUGAGUGCGGUCAUUUUUGGUGCAAUGUUCAUUUUACACAUAAAUAAACGUGUUACGGCGGCAAAUCACUAUCAACAUUCGAGAGCGGAAACCAGCUUCCAGAUGGAGGCGAUCUUUUAAUAAAUCUAUUUUCAAUGUAUUUCUUCAUACGUGGCAGUGAUGUAGUGCUCACUUAUACAAUAAGGAUAUGUGAUGGGUUUUGAACAUUUUCAGCAAUAUGUUGUAAGAAUGAAUGUGUGACGAAUCAGGUGACCGAGGCACAAAACAUCUGCCGCUGCGGAGGAAACACACACGCACGCGUAGGUUCAACAACCAGCAGCACGUAGCGCCACAGGGAGCCCGACGCGUCAGUCUGUGGAUGUCUUACCAACUUGAACUAUGGCGGAGCCUGAGCUCAUUAUUUACACUUUACAAUUAUCGAACCCUAUUGACAGUUAGCAAGAUGUUCACAGAUUCCGACAUCAUUUUACCGAGCAAGUUCACGUUCCGCGAGCGAGCAAAUAUCGCGCGAGACAGACUUUUGCUCGCGGAUGUUUGAUUGACGCGCGCGCAUCAACCUGAUUUCUGCUCUGGAAUUUUGACAGUGAUUUGCUUCCAUAGUACGUCACCAACAUUUGGUCGAUCGCGCGGUCCUCUUGUCUGCUUUCGUUGUCCAAAGAGGAGGCGGGGCUUAGACAGCGCCUCCGCGUGCAGGGCGGACACGCCUUUCUACCUGGAUAAAAUCAUGAACAGGAAAUAAACUGCCAGCUGACUAGUGGGCGGAGUCAAAUAAGCAUGAGCAGUUGAAUAAAAUCAACAACAUGUUAUUAUUUCUCUUUGUACAGAUUCCAACGUCCUCUCUCCCUCUGAGGAUUCUGCUCCAGAGUCCACACCUCCGCCUCUAAUGGCCCCUCCCCCUACCUGUCCCACCUCCACACAUCCACACACACCUCCAAUGGCCCCUCCCCCUACCCGUCCCACCUCCACACAUCCACACACACCUCCAAUGGCCCCUCCCCCUACCCGUCCCACCUCCAC
ensembl:lncRNA